CCCAUGUUGGGGGCUUAGAGUUGAUAAUUUUACUAGUGACGACACACGAGCAAAACUCCUAAAUUGGUACUCGCGUUUUAUGAAGUAAAUACAUUCAUACACAAAAAACCGAUUGUAACUCGGAACUUGUCAAAACUUGGGAUUCUUUGUUUCUUCAUUUUCGAGCCCAUUAUUACAAGUCAAUCCUCCUAGACUCACUUCCUUUCACUGUUAAAUUCAGAAUGCGUUUUCCAAAAGGCUCUGUUGAGUUCUAUGAAAUUCUAGCGGGAGUACUCGACAUUGCAUUGAAUGACGCAGUUCAUUAAGCACACACUCAAAAGUCCUCCUCUGACCAAUGAACUUAGGAAAAACUUAGCUGCAUUAAUAUAAAUUAAUGAAUAUUUAUAAAUGCAUGAAGGAGGUGCAACUAUUGAACAUAAAUACUAAUUGUAAAGUCUGAUUUUCACUCUACUAGCGUCAAAUUCGUUUGGCGUAUCCCUUGAAAUAUAAGCUUAAACAUAAUUCCUAUUCAUCCUCCAGGUUUUCAGUAUUAAGGUUGAAUCACAAGAUUGGGAAAUGAUCUCCCUUGCAUA
rnacentral:lncRNA from 1 species